AGCGAACGCUGGCGGCAGGCUUAACACAUGCAAGUCGAGCGGGCACUUUCGGGUGUCAGCGGCGGACGGGUGAGUAACGCGUGGGAACGUGCCCUCUGGUUCGGAAUAACUCAGGGAAACUUGAGCUAAUACCGGAUACGCCCUUUUGGGGAAAGGCUUGCUGCCGGAGGAUCGGCCCGCGUCUGAUUAGCUAGUUGGUGAGGUAACGGCUCACCAAGGCGACGAUCAGUAGCUGGUCUGAGAGGAUGAUCAGCCACACUGGGACUGAGACACGGCCCAGACUCCUACGGGAGGCAGCAGUGGGGAAUAUUGGACAAUGGGCGCAAGCCUGAUCCCGCCAUGCCGCGUGAGUGAUGAAGGCCUUAGGGUUGUAAAGCUCUUUUAUCCGGGACGAUAAUGACGGUACCGGAGGAAUAAGCCCCGGCUAACUUCGUG
rnacentral:rRNA from 1 species